rnacentral:rRNA from 1 species
AGUAACGGCGAGUGAAGCGGCAACAGCUCAAAUUUGAAAUCUGGCGCAAGCCCGAGUUGUAAUUUGCAGAGGAUGCUUCAGGGCAGCGACCGGUCUAAGUUCCUUGGAACAGGACGUCGUAGAGGGUGAGAAUCCCGUAUGCGACCGGUUGGCACCCGUCACGUAGCUCCUUCGACGAGUCGAGUUGUUUGGGAAUGCAGCUCUAAAUGGGAGGUAAAUUUCUUCUAAAGCUAAAUACCGGCCAGAGACCGAUAGCGCACAAGUAGAGUGAUCGAAAGAUGAAAAGCACUUUGGAAAGAGAGUUAAAAAGCACGUGAAAUUGUUGAAAGGGAAGCGCAUGCAACCAGACUUGUCGGCGGUGUUCCGCCGGUCUUCUGACCGGUCCACUCGCCGCCGGCAGGCCAGCAUCAUCUGGGCGCGCCGGACAAAGGCGCGGGGAAUGUAGCUCCUCGGAGUGUUAUAGCCCCGCGCACAAUACGGCGCCGCUCGGGUGAGGUCCGCGCUUCGGCUAGGAUGCUGGCGUAAUGGUUGUCUGCGGCCCGUCUUGAAACACGGACCAAGGAGUCUAACAUCUAUGCGAGUGUUCGGGUGUCAAACCCCUACGCGGAAUGAAAGUGAACGGAGGUGGGAAGCGCAAGCUGCACCAUCGACCGAUCCUGAUGUCUUCGGAUGGAUUUGAGUAAGAGCAUAGCUGUUGGGACCCGAAAGAUGGUGAACUAUGCCUGAAUAGGGUGAAGCCAGAGGAAACUCUGGUGGAGGCUCGCAGCGGUUCUGACGUGCAAAUCGAUCGUCAAAUUUGGGUAUA